AAAGGCCUGGCUGGAGGGAGAUUAG
rnacentral:piRNA from 1 species